rnacentral:ncRNA from 1 species
UUAUAUCUUUGCUACAUGCAUGUGUAAGUAUGAACAAAUUAAAUUCUUACAGUGAAUUGCAAAUGACUCAUUAAGUCACUUAUAAUUUGUUUUAUGGUAUUUAUCAUUUGAAUAACUGUGAUAAUUCUAGAACCAAUAUAUGCAAUAAAAUUAAACUUUUAGAAGGAUAUAUUUAUUAAAUAAAAGAUUGAUGUGGGUUAUGCCCAUUUUUGUGACGUUUCACGAAAACUAGAUGGAUCAUAGGGUAUCAUGUCAGUGUUAUAUCAUUCAAUUUUUUGUGUUAUCUAUUUUCGAUACUAAGACAGUGGUCUAUUACAAUGGUUAUGUUUGAUGAAAAAUUACGGUUCAAUUCUGAAGUGUCAGCAUGAGAAAUGACUCCUACAUUUAAGAAAGGCAGCUAGCAGGUGUGUAAAUAAUCCAAUACUAACAAAAGGACACUGGCAAAUACAUAAUAAUAUGGAUCCAAUGAAUUUGAUAAUUGAAAUGAGUACAAUCUAAAUUUAUUAUCAAUGAUUCAUUAGAGGGCAAGUCUAGUGCUAAUAACCUUAGUAAUUCAAUCUCCAAUA